GUGCUCUCUUUGACAGCACAUGUACUAACAUUGGAACGAUACAGAGAAGGUUAGCAUGGCCCCUGCGCAAGGAUGACACACAAAUUCAUGAAGCGUUCCAUAAAAAA
ensembl:snRNA LOC120093900 U6 spliceosomal RNA